rnacentral:rRNA from 1 species
AACGUAAACAACCUGCCUUAAGGAUGGGGAUAACAGACGGAAACGACUGCUAAUACCGAAUACGUUCUAAGCAUCGCAUGGUGCAUAGAAGAAAGGGUGGCCUCUACAAGAAAGCUAUCGCCUUAAGAGGGGUUUGCGACUGAUUAGGUAGUUGGUGGGGUAACGGCUCACCAAGCCGACGAUCAGUAGCCGGUCUGAGAGGAUGAACGGCCACACUGGAACUGAGACACGGUCCAG